UUCAGUCGCUGCCUCCUGUGUUUUGCCCCCAUAAGAUUAAAGAUGAACAAAUAUAUUUAAAAUGUAACGUAGCUGCAGCCUGAUACACAGUCAGAUUCCACUUUAUCACCAUUAAUGAAAUGUAAGUCUGCUAAAUGAUGAAUUCAUGGACAACACUGAAUGAAACUUUAUUGUGUUAACUUAUUGACACUUUCCUGCUCUGACUCACAGAGUCAGUGUCAGUCAGUAUUUACAGAUAAAUGUGCUUCGUCCACACACGUAUACAUUCAUAUCUCUACGUCCUUGUGUUUUCUAAUAUUGAUUUAUUUAUGAUUGUGAACAGAAGAGAUGUGAUUUCUGAUGCAUGAAUGAGGUUCAGAGUAAGUCUAUAGUGAGAGUAAGUCUAUAGUGAGAGGGACAGAGUAAGUCUAUAGUGAGAGUAAGUCUAUAGUGAGAGGGACAGAGUAAGUCUAUAGUGAGAGGUUCAGAGUAAGUCUAUAGUGAGAGGGACAGAGUAAGUCUAUAGUGAGAGGUUCAGAAUAAGUCUAUAGUGAGAGGGACAGAGUAAGUCUAUAGUGAGAGGGACAGAGUAAGUCUAUAGUGAGAGGGACAGAGUAAGUCUAUAGUGAGAGGGACAGAGUAAGUCUAUAGUGAGAGGUUCAGAGUAAGUCUAUAGUGAGAGGGACAGAGUAAGUCUAUAGUGAGAGGGACAGAGUAAGUCUAUAGUGAGAGGGACAGAGUAAGUCUAUAGUGAGAGGGACAUUUAACAGUGUUGUCAGUGCUCUCUGGUGGACUAACCCUUUCUUAAUGACCUUAAACACAUCUUUGAUGUUUCUGUAGUGUGUGUUUCUUGUUGCUUACAGCCAACAUACGCUAAUAAUAAAAAUGAUAAUAAUGCUAAUAAUAACCAUUACCGCACUUUUCAAAAACAAGUUGAAAAAAGAGCUUUACAGACAUGAGAAAAUCAACACUCAUGGGAGAAUAUGCAAUACAUGGUAAAUAAUAAGAUUAAAAGAGAAAAUAGUUUAAUAAAAAAAAUAAUAGAAUUAAAAGCCAGUGUAACUAAUUAAAAGCUCAUCUAAUUUCCAGUGGAGGGCUUUUCCAGAGGACCCCUGACUACAAACACCCUGUGACUGUCUGUCUCCAGCCUGGAGCUGCAGACAGUCAGUAGCAACUGGUCAGCAGACCUCAGGCUAUGAGCCGGAGAGUAAGGAGUGAGAGGAUUGGCAAUGUAGAGUGGGUCAAGUCCUAUCUGUGCCUUCAAAACAAGUAAUAAAAGUGGCAAUCCUGAAGGCCACAGGUGACCAGUGCAAGAAGGCCCAAACAGGACAAUAUGGUCAUAUUGAUAAUGUAUCUGUAAUAAAUUCAUAAGUAAGUAAAAUUUGCUGAAAAAAUGCUGAUUUAUCAGCUGGGCUCGACUGCCUACCUGGGAACACAACUGCUCCCCGAUCCAGUCUUCACUGGUUAAGGAUGUGAAGCUUUAUUUCCCCUCCUGCAGAGGAUUGAAAACACACAUAAAACAAGCAAGUUGUCUCAGGCUCUCCGAGGAGGGAACUGAUAUCUGUCGACACAGACCUUUGAUUAUUGUCAGGGGAGGAUGCUAUUCAGUGUGGACGGGAGGGACAGACGCACUAAAGGGACACGUAGGGAGGGUUUUAGGAAAUGUGAAUUUUCAUUUUCCUUUCAAAAGCCACGUGUAGCUCCCCGACAGCGACUCGUUCAAGCUAAAAACCCAAAUAUCCCCUGUCGAUCAGCAGAAAGUCAAGAGAGAAAAAUCAAUGUUUCAUGAGUAAUUCACAUCUGACUGAUAGUGAGUUUGCCACAUUACAGUGCUCAGGGCUUAACUAGUUCAAACAGCCUCUACUGGUCUCCUCUAUCUGAAAAGGCACAUUCAUGGCAGUGUUGUCAGCUCUGAUAUCAGACAGCCUUUGGGUGGAAUUCUGUUUGGAAACUAAAUAAAUAAAUGAUCCAUCAAAAUUGCUCUUUGACACUAAGGCCUGAGCCUCAGUGACACAGCAAAUAUUACAUUUGUCUUGCACUAUCCACAUCUUUUUAGGGAUUGAAUCAGAUUGCAUAAAGUUACAUGGGUCUUACACGCACUGACAUCUGCACAUUUGGGCUGAUACUAUUCAGAUAGUUUGUUCAGUGUGUGCAACACUCUUUGCUGGCUUCCAGUCAGUGUGGUGAAAAUAACAGGCCAACGACGGUUCAUUUAUGCUGAAAAUUGUGUAUUAAAUACCUUGAAAAUAGCAUAAAAUAUCAUUUGUGCCAGUUAGCCAUGUUUCCAUCUAAUUGUGAAGUGAAUUUUAAGUGAACAUCAGCUGGUUUGGAGCAAUAAACUAGGCUAUGCAAAGUGUAGUUUCGUCAGAAGUUGGUGGUAUAGGCUGUUAUGCAUAGCUGCAAUAAACAGAGUAGAAGAAGUGAAGCACCGGAAACAAAACCAGUCGCUUUCUCUACGAGAGGAAAAUGGAGAGGUCUUCAGGAAUUUGUUUCAAUUGUGCAAGUUGUAAUUGUUCUUUCAUGUUAGCUAGUAUUGAUGUAGCACACUUAUCUCUCGUCUAAUCAGAGAGGAGCCCUGAGUUCUUAAAAUCAACUAACUUAAUGUGCAAUAAAUAGAAAAUACUUAAAUGUUUCUCUUUUGUUUAUAUAUACUUUUGUAUUUGUCUUGGGUCCCUUUAUACACUGUUAAUGGAUUGUAAUUAUUAUUAGGCUCUGUUUUACUUAACCCUUGUAUUAAAUCUAUGCAAGGUAAUCUACUUGAUGAAUUAGACUACUACAAUGAAAUAGGUGUAUUACUCCUUUAAACAAAGCUGUCACUGAUAUCCACUGAUAAAUACCUCUAGUGAAAGAAAUAACCAAACAUCACACUGGAAUUAGUUUUAGAAAUAAUGAACUUCUCUUUUUUUACUUUUGCCAAUUUCCCAUAUAAGCAACUAAAUAAGAGUCUCUUCCAAUAACUGGAGUUAUGGCAAUAACUCUUCAAAUGUAAACAAUAUGCUCAAAGACUCACAUUCACUAAGCGCGCGCGCACACACACACACACCGGCAGGUAUUUAAAUAAAAGAAAAUAAACCCCCGUUGCAGGCCUGAUUCGAUGCAUGUGAACAGAGAGGCCCAAAACUAUUUGGCCGCUUAACUCAAAACAGCAACAAAAUAAAAUGCGGUACCUUGGUCAUGACGUCUGACUCCAAUCAGCAGUUUCUACCAGCCUCGGUCUCCGGGAGGGAACAGGAUACAGUUUACACCAGCCUCGGUCUCCGGGAGGGAACAGGAUACAGUUUACACCAGCCUCGGUCUCCGGGAGGGAACAGGAUGCAGUUUAUACCAGCCUCGGUCUCCGGGAGGGAACAGGAUACAGUUUAUACCAGCCUCGGUCUCCGGGAAGGAACAGGAUACACGCUGAAGUCCAGAGAUGGCGGGUCCUGCCCAUGUAGUGAAAAGUCUCUCUGAAAAUUGACUUAGUAGCUCAUAGCACUGUCCGAUAAUCCUCAGGGUUUCCACG